AGCAAGCUGGGGAAUACGUGUGGGAAACAAAUCAGCAGACAGACAGUGGCAUGUGAAGUGAUUCUCCCUGCUGGCACAGAUGUGAUUGCAAAGCAGGAGAAUUGCACUCACGCCUUUCUCUUUACAAGAGAAAUACUCCAGCCAGGGGGGUUAUCAAACCCCGGAGGCGGCUUUGAGGGCACUGGCCUUUCUCUGACAAGAGGAAGACCGGGGCAACCCUCUGGACCGCAAUCCAAACGAGACUCCUCUUGAGUUACCGGCACAGUAAACACCCGUCCGAAGCGAUCCCGAGAGCCAACGUGGUGCUGUGGUCUCUGCUCGCCUCCCCCCCCCCCGGUGCUUCGGAUGACGUUACGGGGGGCUCUGCGAUCCUCCCUCUCGAGUCGGGGUGACCAUCACGAGCCCUGCGGGAGGAGGGAGCCCCUUCAUCCCGGGGUCAGCGAGAGGUCGCUCGGGGCAGAAGCGAGUGCGGUCUU